UGCGGUGAUGUUAUGGGAUUGUGGUGUGUCUUCACAGUUCCCACAAUAAUUGUGAUUUAUGCAAUGUGUUGUUUUGUGGCAGUCACAUCCUCUCUGACCAAGGCUGAGAAGAAAAAGGCGACGGGCAGAAGAUCUCGGCAGGUGGACAAUAGUCCGGAGGGGGUGUGGUCUGCCUGGGAGGAGUGGUCAGGAUGUUCUCAGAGUUGUGGAGUGGGCGUGUCACAGAGAACCAGAAAGUGUGAAGCCCCUCCCCGUCCCCUAACUCCACCCCUCUCCCACUCUCCUCCAAUCUGGGGGGGUUCAUCGUUCCUCCCAGGGAGGGCAGGGGGUCCCAACCAUGGCUCUGUCAUCUCUGCCAUCCACCCCUUCUACCCCCCUCGUUACUCUAGCAACCAGCCAUCCCAAUACGGGGGAGGAGGUGGGGGAGGGACAGAGAGACAGCCAGACCCCUUCUAUCCCCCCUCACUCCCAUCAUCCAAUCAGAACCCAGGACUGUCUCUCUAUCGGGACACUCCUAUAGGAGGAGGGGCAGGAGCUGUGCCAGCGCAGUCCUCCAAUCCCACGUCUCCCCUCUAUCGCCCGGAAUUCUCAUCACCCAAUCAGGAGCCAGGUUCUGUUUAUCGCUCCCCCUCAUUUCCUGCCCCCCCAUCCAGCUACAGCCAACCAGCACAGGCCGCCCGCCGGCCAACCAAUCCUGGAACAGGG
ensembl:lncRNA